rnacentral:rRNA from 1 species
AGGACGAACGCUGGCGGCGUGCUUAACACAUGCAAGUCGAACGGGGUUCAACCGGUCGCAAGACCGGCGAAGACCGAGUGGCGAACGGGUGCGUAACACGUGAGAAACCUGUCCCGGUCUCUGGAAUAACAGUCGGAAACGACUGCUAAUACCGGAUGCCGUCGGAGCGUCGCAUGGCGCGCUGACGAAAGGGCUACCGGAUCGGGAGGUCUCGCGGCCUAUCAGCUUGUGGUGAGGUACGCUCACCAAGGCAUCGACGGGUAGCUGGUCUGAGAGGAUGAUCAGCCACACUGGGACUGAGACACGGCCCAGACUCCUACGGGAGCAGCAGUGGGAAUCGUGCACAAGUGGGACGAAAGCCUAGACUGACAGCAACGCCGCGGCGCGGGAUGGAACGGCCCGUAGGGUUCGUAAACCGCUUUACGAGUCGAAGG